rnacentral:misc_RNA from 1 species
CCAAGUGGUACACUUUUGGUUACUGCCUCAAUUCAUGGGAAUAACAUAAAUAUUUUUCGGAUUAUGCCCUCCUCUCACAGUGCAUCAGGCAAUAAGAGCUAUGAAUGGAGCUCUUCCAUGUGCACCUUUAUAAGCUCCAUCGUGGCAUUACAUCAGCUGUGAUACAAGACAUUUGCUUUAGUCACUGUAGUCAGUUGAUUGCCAUUGUUUCAUCCAGGGGUACUUGCCAUAUUUUCAUGCUUUCUCCUUUUGGUGGUGAGAAUGUUCUUCA